GACUGAACCUAAGAUGUAGUACCAGCUCUGACUUAACCCCAGCCAAAGGGCUGGGGCCUUGUAAGUAAAAUGAACAUUUAGCCUUUUGUGUAACAUGUAGCAACCUUUUGUAAGUAAUAUGUUGUAGUUUUGUAUUGUAUCAUAAUUGUAGUAAAUUGACAUUCUCCUAGCAUCUGUUUAUUUGUUAUAGUUAUAUUAAAUAUACAUUUAAUAUUACAACGUUUUGUGUAUUUUCUAUCCACAUAUUCGACCAUAAUACCAUGAAUUAUAAAAAUAUUAAUGUUCCGAAUUGCUUACUUAUUAUGUAUUAAGAGAUUAAUAUUCAUAUUUAGGUCACGACCACAACACCCUCAUUAAAGUAGUUUCCUGUUUUACCCUCAAGACGGAGCUUAGUCUUGUGUUUGGGGGGAUUACUACUUGGAAGUAUUUAUUUUGCCUGUUUUAGCUGUGGAAGGAGUUUGGCUGAUUAUUCGUGGAUUUACCACAUUCCCUUGCCCUCCGUUCAGGAGUUUGGCGGUCUGCUGUAUAGAGGCUGUGUCUCUAAAAUAUAAAGCUCAGUGUUAGUGAUGUAUAAGUACAUAUAAUAAUAUAAAGUGCAGUCAACAACAACAACAACAACAACGUGCACUGAUACAAUAGGGUACAAUAAAAUACAAAAACAAUAUUUACAAAAUUUAACAUAGAACAGGUAGGAAAUAUAUAAUCAACCAUGACAUGUGCAUUCUGUUUUGAGAUAUGUAGAGAAGGAUCUCUUAAAGGACUUUAGACCUAUGGUCGUUCCAUAAUUGUGGUGCUCUGUAGGAAAAGGAGGAUCAAGCUUUCUUGGUGGGAACAGCAUUCUUCUCAUGUAGGGUGUGUAACGGACCAUUUCAGCACACAAGGGGUUAAAACCAUUUAGGCGAUCGUCCCCUUCCAGAGACACAGGCACAGCUACUGCAGAACACCAAUCCGCCGAACAGGAAACCAUACGAAUGCUGUAAACAGCCGAAUAGGAAAAACCAUACGAAUAGGUUUACACUCCUAGCAGUCGAACUGGAACAGCAUACAAUAAAUCCCCCCAAGAACGAGACAAAGCUCCGUGUUGAGGGUCAAGCAGUGAACAGACAGAGCUGUGGGUUUAUUGUGCUUAUGUACACAUUCUUACACAUUAGUACCACCCACAGGGUUUUGGAACACAACCAAUAAACACAUACAAUACACUCAGACACUCCCACACAAAUUCCUCCCCUCUGCAUGUGAUUCAAUUACCUUACACAAUGGGUAAUGUAAUUUAGCACAAGCACAGAAAUACAAUUUUUCCACAUUAUUCAUAACUUGAAAAGUAUGCAUCACAUUCACAUAAAACUUACAUUUUCAGAAUCAGCAUACUCCAAAUACAAACCGGAAGCAUGGCUUUUCUGCUCAAAACCAGUUCCGCAGAGUCUUCUAUCCUGGAGAUAAUUGGAAAGUAAUCCAAUUAUCUCCAAAGACAGAGGCAAAACUCCAUUGAACACAUGGCAGCAAAAAGACCGUAAAAUACAAUAAAAUACACAAGGUUACAUUUAUGACAUAAAAUACAGACAUGCAACAUAUGCCCAGAUAGCUUAGGUUUGAGCGCACAUUAUUACUGAAUGUCACUCAGAGCACACACAUACAGUUCAAUUGCCAUGGAGCCAAAGUCUUUCCCAUAGUCUUUCAUUAUACGAAUGGGCUCCAUGGCAUAGCUAUCUGGGGUAUCACUGCUCUAACAGGGCAAGCACCAAAUUACCCGGCUUUCUUGUCUUUGCAGGGGAAAAUCAAGCCUUUUAACAUGGGGCCAUAAUCCAAAGGCAACAGGCGAGCAACCAGGCUCCUCCAAUGCAAUGUGGCGAGAUUGCUCUCGUCACAGGGUGCUUCCCAGAAAAGAUCUUAAACACAAGGCUGGAGAGAUG
rnacentral:lncRNA from 1 species